UACGAAGGGGGCUAGCGUUGUUCGGAAUUACUGGGCGUAAAGCGCACGUAGGCGGAUCCUUAAGUCGGGGGUGAAAUCCUGGAGCUCAACUCCAGAACUGCCUUCGAUACUGGCGAUCUUGGAGUCCGGGAGAGGUGAGUGGAACUGCGAGUGUAGAGGUGAAAUUCGUAGAUAUUCGCAAGAACACCAGUGGCGAAGGCGGCUCACUGGCCCGGUACUGACGCUGAGGUGCGAAAGCGUGGGGGAGCAAACAGG
rnacentral:rRNA from 1 species